rnacentral:rRNA from 1 species
AACGAACGCUGGCGGCGCGCCUAAUACAUGCAAGUCGAGCGAGAAGACGUAGCAAUACGUUUGUAAAGCGGCGAACGGGUGAGGAAUACAUGGGUAACCUACCCUCGAGUGGGGAAUAACUAGCCGAAAGGUUAGCUAAUACCGCGUACGCUCCUUGGACUUCGGUUCAGGGAGGAAAGCGAUACCGUGGGUAUCGCGCUCUUGGAUGGGCCCAUGUCCUAUCAGCUUGUUGGUGAGGAACGGCUCACCAAGGCUUCGACGGUAGCUGGUCUGAGAGGACGAUCAGCCACACUGGCACUGCGACACGGGCCAGACUCCUACGGGAGGCAGCAGUAA